rnacentral:misc_RNA from 1 species
CAAACCUCAAGCCCUGGCUGCUUGGUGUUGGGGCAGAUCCUGCGAAGACCGCAGGCCCCGAAUGCAAUCGGCGGGCCCGUCCGCGACCCCGAGCGUAGUAACACUUCGUCUCGCCCAGGGCGUCCGGCGGGCAUAUCCGGCCGCUAAAAUAAAUAUUACCUUCAUA